GAAGGAUCCUACAUAGAAGCUGGCUGAUUACACGGAGUGAUUCCUCUGGUGUGGUGUACCUCAGAGAAAUAAACACUGUUGCAAGAGGUGAGUUCAAGUUUAUAAAGUCACACAAAACCUAUCCAUGUAUUUUUAAAAAGUCAAAGUUCUAACUUGCUCUGUAUUUCAUGCUGUCAAUAUGAGAUGCAUUCUAAUGUUGUGUGUUAUUAUUGCAGCUGAGAAGAUGGCCAAGAUAUCCUUAUUGCUGGAUGGUAGCUCUGGUCGUAGUGGACCAUAUCUGCAAAUGCUUCUGAACAUUGACAGAAUUUCUAAAGAUGACUGAGAAUAUUACUGAAGGAUCCUACAUGGAAGCUGUCUGAUUACACUGAGUGAUUCCUCUGGUGUGGUGUACCUCAGAGAAAAUAAACACUGUUGCAAGAGCUGAGAAGAUAUCCUUAUUGCUGGAUGGUUGCUCUCUGGUCGUACUUGAGCCCCCUGGACCAUGUCUGCAAAUGAUUGUGUUUGAUAUGAAGUACUAUUUGUACAUAGUUUGUUUGCACAGGCAAAACUCCUUCUUCUUGUGGACUUAGUUUUCGUUUUUGGAAUAUGACAGAACUGUAGGGUCAUGCUUUUCUGGUAGUUUCAUCAAUAAUUUUGGUUUCACUUUUAUGAUUGUAUG